rnacentral:rRNA from 1 species
UUGAUUUGAAAGGCGCUUUCGGGUGUCGCUGAUGGAUGGACCCGCGGUGCAUUAGCUAGUUGGUGAGGUAACGGCUCACCAAGGCCACGAUGCAUAGCCGACCUGAGAGGGUGAUCGGCCACAUUGGGACUGAGACACGGCCCAAACUCCUACGGGAGGCAGCAGUAGGGAAUCUUCGGCAAUGGACGAAAGUCUGACCGAGCAACGCCGCGUGAGUGAAGAAGGUUUUCGGAUCGUAAAACUCUGUUGUUAGAGAAGAACAAGGAUGAGAGUAACUGUUCAUCCCUUGACGGUAUCUAACCAGAAAGCCACGGCUAACUACGUGCCAGCAGCCGCGGUAAUACGUAGGUGGCAAGCGUUGUCCGGAUUUAUUGGGCGUAAAGCGAGCGCAGGCGGUUUCUUAAGUCUGAUGUGAAAGCCCCCGGCUCAACCGGGGAGGGUCAUUGGAAACUGGGAGACUUGAGUGCAGAAGAGGAGAGUGGAAUUCCAUGUGUAGCGGUGAAAUGCGUAGAUAUAUGGAGGAACACCAGUGGCGAAGGCGGCUCUCUGGUCUGUAACUGACGCUGAGGCUCGAAAGCGUGGGGAGCAAACAGGAUUAGAUACCCUGGUAGUCCACGCCGUAAACGAUGAGUGCUAAGUGUUGGAGGGUUUCCGCCCUUCAGUGCUGCAGCUAACGCAUUAAGCACUCCGCCUGGGGAGUACGACCGCAAGGUUGAAACUCAAAGGAAUUGACGGGGGCCCGCACAAGCGGUGGAGCAUGUGGUUUAAUUCGAAGCAACGCGAAGAACCUUACCAGGUCUUGACAUCCUUUGACCACUCUAGAGAUAGAGCUUCCCCUUCGGGGGCAAAGUGACAGGUGGUGCAUGGUUGUCGUCAGCUCGUGUCGUGAGAUGUUGGGUUAAGUCCCGCAACGAGCGCAACCCUUAUUGUUAGUUGCCAUCAUUCAGUUGGGCACUCUAGCAAGACUGCCGGUGACAAACCGGAGGAAGGUGGGGAUGACGUCAAAUCAUCAUGCCCCUUAUGACCUGGGCUACACACGUGCUACAAUGGGAAGUACAACGAGUUGCGAAGUCGCGAGGCUAAGCUAAUCUCUUAAAGCUUCUCUCAGUUCGGAUUGCAGGCUGCAACUCGCC